rnacentral:rRNA from 1 species
CCUACGGGAGGCAGCAGUGAGGAAUAUUGGUCAAUGGACGCAAGUCUGAACCAGCCAUGCCGCGUGCAGGAAGACGGCUCUAUGAGUUGUAAACUGCUUUUGUACGAGGGUAAACGCAGAUACGCGUAUCUGUCUGAAAGUAUCGUACGAAUAAGGAUCGGCUAACUCCGUGCCAGCAGCCGCGGUAAUACGGAGGAUUCAAGCGUUAUCCGGAUUUAUUGGGUUUAAAGGGUGCGUAGGCGGUCGGAUAAGUUAGAGGUGAAAUCCCGAGGCUCAACUUCGGAAUUGCCUCUGAUACUGUUCGGCUAGAGAGUAGUUGCGGUAGGCGGAAUGUAUGGUGUAGCGGUGAAAUGCUUAGAGAUCAUACAGAACACCGAUUGCGAAGGCAGCUUACCAAGCUAAUUCUGACGUUGAGGCACGAAAGCGUGGGUAGCAAACAGGAUUAGAUACCCUUGUAGUC